GACGAACGCUGGCGGCGUGCUUAACACAUGCAAGUCGAACGGAAAGGCCCUGCUUUUGUGGGGUGCUCGAGUGGCGAACGGGUGAGUAACACGUGAGUAACCUGCCCUUGACUUUGGGAUAACUUCAGGAAACUGGGGCUAAUACCGGAUAGGAGCUCCUGCUGCAUGGUGGGGGUUGGAAAGUUUCGGCGGUUGGGGAUGGACUCGCGGGUUAUCAGUUUGUUGGUGGGGUAGUGGCUUACCAAGGCUUUGACGGGUAGCCGGCCUGGGAGGGUGACCGGCCACAUUGGGACUGAGAUACGGCCCAGACUCCUACGGGGGGCAGCAGUGGGGAAUAUUGCACAAUGGGCGGAAGCCUGAUGCAGCAACGCCGCGUGCGGGAUGACGGCCUUCGGGUUGUAAACCGCUUUCGCCUGUGACGAAGCGUGAGUGACGGUAAUGGGUAAAGAAGCACCGGCUAACUACGUG
rnacentral:rRNA from 1 species